CACUGCCCCAUCAUGGUGUCUGCUCUGACCGUCCUCCUCCUUGGCUGCUGGCUGGCCAGGCACAGUGGGGUGUGGGGAGGAUGAGAAUUUCCCAAACCCACAAUCUGGGUGAGCCCCAGCAGGGUGGUGACACUCAGGCCAUGUCUACAUCUAAAAUUUUGCAGCGCUGGUUGUUACAGC